UCCGGUUUGUCACCGGCAGUCCCAUUAGAGUGCUCAACUGAAUGUAGCAACUAAUGGCAAGGGUUGCGCUCGUUGCGGGACUUAACCCAACAUCUCACGACACGAGCUGGCGACAGCCAUGCAGCACCUGUGUUCCAGGCUCCGAAGAGAAGGCCGCAUCUCUGCGACCGGUCCUGGACAUGUCAAGGGCUGGUAAGGUUCUGCGCGUUGCGUCGAAUUAAACCACAUGCUCCACCGCCUGUGCGGGCCCCCGUCAAUUCCUUUGAGUUUUAGCCUUGCGGCCGUACUCCCCAGGCGGGGUGCUUAAUGCGUUAGCUUCGGCACGGAAGGGGUCGAUAUCCCCCCACACCUAGCACCCAUCGUUUACGGCUGGGACUAC
rnacentral:misc_RNA from 1 species